rnacentral:rRNA from 1 species
CUGAUGCAGCAACGCCGCGUGAGGGAUGACGGCCUUCGGGUUGUAAACCUCUUUUAGUAGGGAAGAAGCCUUCGGGUGACGGUACCUGCAGAAAAAGCACCGGCUAACUACGUGCCAGCAGCCGCGGAAUACGUAGGGUGCAAGCGUUGUCCGGAAUUAUUGGGCGUAAAGAGCUCGUAGGCGGCUUGUCGCGUCUGCUGUGAAAACCCGAGGCUCAACCUCGGGCCUGCAGUGGGUACGGGCAAGCUAGAGUGGGUAGGGGAGAUUGGAAUUCCUGGUGUAGCGGUGGAAUGCGCAGAUAUCAGGAGGAACACCGAUGGCGAAGGCAGAUCUCUGGGCCGUAACUGACGCUGAGGAGCGAAAGCAUGGGGAGCGAACAGGUUAGAUACCCUGGUAGUCCAUGCCGUAAACGUUGGGAACUAGAUGUAGGGCCUGUUCCACGGGUUCUGUGUCGUAGCUAACGCAUUAAGUUCCCCGCCUGGGGAGUACGGCCGCAAGGCUAAAACUCAAGGAAUUGACGGGGGCCCGCACAAGCGGCGGAGCAUGCGGAUUAAUUCGAUGCAACGCGAAGAACCUUACCAAGGCUUGACAUAUGGAGGAACGGGUCAGAAAUGAUUCACUCUUUGGACACUUCUUACAGGUGGUGCAUGGUUGUCGUCAGCUCGUGUCGUGAGAUGUUCGGUUAAGUCCGGCAACGAGCGCAACCCUCGUCCUAUGUUGCCAGCACGUAAUGGUGGGAACUCAUGGGAUACUGCCGUGGUCACACGGAGGAAGGUGGGGAUGACGUCAAAUCAUCAUGCCCCUUAUGUCUUGGGCUUCACGCAUGCUACAAUGGCCGGUACAAUGGGCUGCGAUACCGCGAGGUGGAGCGAAUCCCAAAAAGCCGGUCCAGUUCGGAUUGGGGUCUGCAACUCGACCCCAUGAAGUCGGAGUCGCUAGUAAUCGCAGAUCAGCA